rnacentral:rRNA from 1 species
UACAGAGGGUGCGAGCGUUAAUCGGAAUUACUGGGCGUAAAGCGUGCGUAGACGGUUAUUUAAGUCGGGUGUGAAAGCCCCGGGCUCAACCUGGGAAUUGCAUUCGAGACUGAAUAGCUAGGGUACGGUAGAGGGAAGCGGAAUUUCCGGUGUAGCGGUGAAAUGCGUAGAUAUCGGAAGGAACAUCAGUGGCGAAGGCGGCAUCCUGGACCAACACUGACGCUGAGUGAGCGAAAGCCAGGGGAGCAAACGGG